GGACGGGAAACCUUCCAGCGGCACAGCUUUCCACCGAGCACCGUGGGACUGUCGGUGUCAUGCACUUCGCAAGUCAGAACACCCUGGCAAGCUCUGCUGAGGGCAUCAGCUAACUGCCUGCCCUUUUACCGGUGCCGGUAGCUGAUGCGCCUCUGCAGCCUGUUAAAAAAACAACAAGACAGGCAUAGGAGAAAAUAGGAGCUGCUGUGGCGUCCGGCCUGUGCCAGGAGGGUUUCCCACCUCACCUGGCAGCUCACCUGAUAGAUUGCAGCCACGUUCGGAGGGUGAUAGUCCAGAAAAGGACAGUGAAAAGAUGACAAUAGAUGGAGAAAAAUUACCAUUGAUUAGUGCCAAACGUAAUGGUCUGUGGUGCCUCUGCAGUAAAAGCCAGUCAGUGCGAUAGCAUCCACUCAAUUUCAUUCAUUCCAAAAGUUACAGCCGGGAGGCAGGGGGGUAGCAGCAAGCAAUAAGCAAGCUUGCAAUAAGCUUUUGAUUCCUCUGACCUUAGAGCCUUUCGGAGCAGCUGUCCUGGGGGGGCCAGCAGACAAAUGCAGUCUUACGCAGCCUCUCGGAAAACAAACAGAAGUGAUUAGGUGUUUAAUUUUAUUUGCAGCCUAAUUUUGCUUAUUUUCUAAAAGGUCACAAUUUAAUGCGUGCACAGUAAAGGUCAUACUCAAACAC